CGCUCCCUGCCAAGGAGUUGCCUUUGCCACGCUUGAUGUAUUGCUAUAUCCUGACGUGGACUUUUUGGCAAACUUCCGUACGUGCUGCUGCCCAUUACUCGCUCCACCUGUGACUUGGCCUUUCGCCUUUCCUCCCUAUGGCCACGCUUCCUUCUCCUCCCCCUGUCCCCCUUCCUGACCCUCUCCCCUCUCUCAUGGUGUGUAAGGGCUUGCGCGCUGGCGCCUCUUUGAACACAUGCUCGGUGAGAGCUUUUCCCUCAUCUUCUGCAGAAGUCUUAUCUUCUCCCUAGUGCAGGUUAAGGUAUUCAAGCUCACCAAGAUCUAGGAUGCGUCUCUCGACUGCGUUUGUGUCUUUGCGAGCGCGAUAGUGGACAGGUGGACGACUGCAGCUGAUUUGGAGUUGAGUUCUUAGUGCCCAUUCUCCGAUACAUGUGCGCCACCCGUCUACCCCACAGCUCACGGUUCUCCAGCACAUGCGCUGCUACCUUGCUUAGCUUUUUCCUCCCUUGCCUCUCACGCCUGUCGGUGCGCUGGCAUUCGGCCGCUCCUCAUAGGCAACGCGGCAUAACUCCCUCCGCCCUUUAAAGUAGAAAACAGAGUAGCUAUACGAACACAAUGCCUGCAACGAGCACAGAGUGAGAAAGAGGGAGGAGAGACAGAGCAGCACAGACACUGAGCAGAGCCGAAGCCUCCGAAGUCCUUUCAUGCGUCAAGCGCUCUCCAUUUCUCGCCGCUGUAUUCUCACCGUAUGCCCAUUCCACCACGAACCCGCCCACAAAGAUGUACACGGGUACACGACUACAGUUCACCUGCCUUCUGCUGCGCCACGGCUGCAUCCUCGUUGUGUAGGGCGAGCCGUCCCUGCUGCCGAGUCGGGCCAUGCACCUUGCGGGCACUUCGUGCCCGUCCUCGUCCCUUCUUUCACGUACGUGCUGCGUGAUCGGCGCCAGACGGGCCCGGGCCCACUGCGCGCAUUGACCCACGUGGGCCGCGUGCGCAGUCCGGCUCGAGGGUGGUGGCGGUGGGCAUCUGUCGUGCGUGGAGCAGCGGGGUGGUGUUCCGGGCGCGUGCCGGGUGAGCUCAGGGAGGAGGUUGGCCAGCCUCAGGCCAGGCUCCCUCUGAGACCCUGCACACCCUGCCUGUAUGCCAUGCCUCGCCCUGAGGGGCCUCGAGCCGUGGCAUUCCGCAAUGUGGUGCGGCCGCUCUCCACCCCGGCGCCUGCAGGACUCGAGGGUGCUCUCGUGAUGCUGCCGGCAUGUGCGCCUCAUCAGCCCACCUGGUCGGAUGAAGGAGGUGCCGCACAGCGCGCGCACGUGCACCGUGGUGUUCAUCGGUGUGGAUGCCUUCGCGCCUUUCUCGCUCAUCACUCGCGCUCUCCUGGCGGCCGCGUGCCUCGGUCGGAUGCGGCACACCACAUGCCAGCGGUGCUCGGCAUGCGCGUGCGCACAGUGCCCGCACCAGUGGGCCUCGGGGUCCGUUGCAGGACAGCAGUGCUGUCUGGCGGGCUCGCUGUCUUCACCCCCCACGUCCGUGGAUGCCGCCGAGGGGGGUGGGGGAGGCGUGUCUGCAUGGCUUGCCCGCAUGCGCCGCGACAGGUGGGACGCCGCCAUGAGUCUGUGGCAGCAGGGGCAUUCCACCCUCUCCUGAGUCCGCACGCCUCUGACAGGCGCGGGCGUGUCAAGCGGAAGGGGCCCGCGCAGAGACGUGUGCCAGCGCACAAAAGGGCCCAUAGCGUGCCAGCCUGUAGAGGGGCAUAGGGGUGCAGCGAUGGACACCCGACGGAGGAGCCACAUGCGGUGCGAGGGAGAUGUGCGUACUCUGGUCGCUGCGUGCAAGACCAUGGCGUGAAAUGAGGUGUGCUCUGAGCCUCGAGCUGUCGUCAAAUCGCGCGUAGCACACCCGGCGCAACGCCCGGUCGGACGCCCUCAUAGCAAACGGCAGGUGAGGGGUGGGGUGUUUGGGGGGGUGGAGGGGCGGAGGUGCUACAGUUCUAGCGGCGUAGCCGGCAUCACACUGUCUGCACGCCGUGCUGCCACCGCCGGCCACCUGCCAUUGCAGGAAUCCCAGGUGCGGAGAGGUGCCUCUGCGGGGCUGGGCGAGGGCCAUCUUCUGCCGCCGUGUGAGCUCGCCAUCCUGGCUCUUCUGGUGUGGGACGGCUGCCGCCAAGGAGCACUUGUCGUCGCGUGUCACAUCGUGUAGCGGGGUUUCGCGGCAUGUCGGCGUGGCGUCUGAGACCGGCGACCAGGUCCGUGAUGCAUGCAGUUGGCGGCGGCUCCUCUGGCAUUGCCAAUUCGGCAAGCCUGCCGGAUUCGCCCUUGCGUUCCACUUCGCAAGGGCCGAAGACGGACGUAAACGAGAGGCGCACGCGACGGACCAGCAGUGCCAGCAUGGGUGCUCAAAUGUGUCGCCAUAUGCCACCCCCCGCCCCCGCCGCGGUGGGGUUCCGUGCUGAGCGCCAUGAGAGAGGCUGAGUGCGUGGCAAGCAACCACACAUACUCUUCCAUGUCUUGGUUUAUUGGGCUGUCUCUGCAACAGGUCGAGUCCCAGUUCAGCUGCUACGCACUCAGCGCGACAGCUGCAAGCAAGGCGGCCGCAGUCUCUUGUCGCUGUACCUGCGGGUGUAUUAUGGUUAUAGAGCAUCGCGGCCGCUCCUGAUUUGAUUCUGUCUGUGCCGCAUCAUCUGCCCACAGGUGGGUAAGGGAGCCUGGCAAGACGGGGGACUCGCUUCGUGCACGCUGCUCGCUCUCCCUCGUCUGGAGAGUCUGCCCGCAGCCCGCCAGCAAGGGAUACAGAGAGGUGCACGCGACUGCUGCACGCGGGGGAGUGGUGUGCGCGCGGAGCUCUGAAGGGGUCGAUGCCUGCAUAUACCCGUAUGAGGACCGCCGAAGGGCCGUGACAAGACCGUGAUCCGGCGUGCACGCAUCCCGCGCCAAGUGCGCAAGGCGGUCUUCUCGUGUGAGUGCGGGGAGAUACCCGCGGGCGCGGCGCAGCAGCGCGGUGGGGUCGAGGGGCAGUAGACGGGCCUCUUCGAGUAGGGCCCUGCCGUCUGCGUAUUUUGAGGAUACCCACGGUGGCAGCGUCUGCGUUGGCGUGACGGCGCUCAAGGGCCUUCCCGCAGUUUGUUGCCGGCACUCUCCCACCACGCGGUGGCACCGUGCCGUAGCUCUGAUUCGACCAGUGCCGUGCAGCGAGUGCGGAGGAGAUUCUUUGAUGGACCACACUCAUGCGAGCACACUGCCCUACGCUUCGCAAGCUGCGCCACGGUUGUUGUGGUAGCUUGUGCGACGUGUCGGUCCAUGCCGCGCAGUGGCGGAAGGCCCACGCCUCCUCGGCGAGGGUGGCGAUCCUCUUCCAAGGGCGUGCGUGCAGCAAGGAGUUUCAGCUGGUUGCGGCAUCGCGCACCGAAGCGCGUGUAGUUGGUUUCGGGGAGGGGGCACUCAGCACCAUGAAGUGCUCCAGUGUUCAGGGCUCCGCCCUGCUAAGGGGCGGGCCGCGGUGUGGCUCGCAUGGCCGUCUUGACUGCGGAGGGUGUGAGGAGUGCGAGGUCAUUAGCAAAGGAGGCGUGGCGCAGUCCGGGUGUCUUGCUGAGCCACACCCGCAGUGGGGCGACUACAAUGAUGAUAAAGGAAGAGGCCAUGGGACAGACCCUUGUGCGACUCCGCGUGUAAAGCGGCCCAUCCUCGGUGUUCCCCAGCUCCCAGUGAAGGGCAGCGCAGACGUGAUGAUCGUCUGAGAAAGGCGUGAUCCGGCGAGUAUGGCACGGGCCUGCAUCGGGCUUCCUCAGCGCCGUGAUGCGAGCGCCGCGAUCUACCGAGUCGCACUCGCGGGCGCAGCUCGCAAGCACUGCUCCUCUCUUGGUGCCCCGACUGGAGCUGCACUACUUUGUGGACGAGCAUGUGCAGGGGGUCUGUGGCGGAGCUGUACGGGCGUAAUCCAAACUGCGCUGGUUGGAGCCUGCCUUGCAGAUGGGCGCGCAGUGGCCGCGACCACUUGGUCAAGUAACUUGCGCGGGUCUCUGGCCAGCGCCACGGGGCGGGGCGGUAGGACGCGGGAUCGCCAUCGGGUCUGUGCGGCUUCAGGAGGGGCACAACGCGCCUCCCCUCUCCGUGUAGCAGCGACACGGACGGUGGUGACGCUCUGGCUGCAGAUGCUCAGCAGCGCUCUCUUGCCGUGCAUCGGGGGGUGGGGAGAGGGGCCUCGACACUGUCCCAGCGAACGUCGUCGAGCGCCGGGGAGGCGCCGCAGGGAACCUCACGGAGCGCCAUCUCGAGCGCGCCCACCGUGGGCAGUUCGAACGACGCAGGGGGGGGGAGGGGGCUGCCGAAUGCUGCGGUGACUUGUGUUGGUGCAUCGGUAAUACGCUGGCCUGCUCGCUCGUACUGAGGUGGCGGUCGCCUUGUCGCAUUGCUCGCACAUGUAGCGUGUGGUGGUCAUGGAUAGCCUGGGUGCAUGCCUGCGUUCAAAGGUCGCCUUUGGGGAUUGGAAAGGGCGUCGCAGGACUGCCUCAAUCCUUCAAUCCCGGCUCUUUGAUGAGCAUCUCGGGGGGGGGGAGGGCGAUGCUCCUGCGACGCGCAGGAAAGCUUCUCGAGAGCCGCUUUCAAUAGCGUCAGUUUUGUUGUGCGUUUCCUUCUCACGCUGCUUGUCGUCUCUUGAGGUGUGCACGAGAAGCCCACCGCGCUCCACUGCCGACCUCGUUCUAGACGUGCUUCUGCCCUUUGCGGGGUUGCCUUUGCGUUCCUUUCGGCAUGUAGUUGUUUUGGUUAUCUGCUCUAUUCUUUCCUGCCUAUUUUUUUUCUUGCUUCCGCAGCUCAGCAGAAGCAUCGCAGAUUCUACGCGGCGUUGUUCUCCAAACCACUUGUGCAGUCGGCGUUCACUAAAGGCCCGCACUCCCCCUUCGCACUCGACGUAUCUCGUGCGUUUCUGGAGAGAGAGCAGGCCAACCCGAGCGAAAAAGAGGGCGAUCAAAUAUCCGCGCUGGCGAAGAUUCUUGACGCGGUCCGCGCGGAGUUGAGUGGUGGACAGACGAGAAGAGAAUGCUGCGUUUCGCCUUUCGCCGUUGCGCU
rnacentral:misc_RNA from 1 species